GAAGAAUGAUCGCUGUUUUUGUGUUUGGCAUUGCGAUUGCGUUUGUUUAGGUGACGAUCCGAAAUUAAUAUGCCGAGAUAUGUCUGAAAUGGAUGUUCUAGCAGCUGGUUUUUCUCCUCAUGAAGGAAGAAGACGCGUGCGGUCGGCAUGCUAUCCCGAUGAUGUGAUAAUUAACAUGUCUAUUAUUUUUGUAGGCAUUUUAUUUUUAUUACUUCUGUUUGGGUUAUUAAAGGCCUGUCUUGGUAUAAUUCUGCCAUGUGUUGGCUUAAUGGGAAUGGAAUAUAUACUAAAGAUCCCACGAAAGCUGGACCAGUACUAUGAAGGUUCUUUGAGAGGUC